rnacentral:rRNA from 1 species
AGGAGAUAGAAAUUUACUAAUGGCGCUAUAGAGAAAGUACCGUAAGGGAACGAUGAAAGAACACCUAAAGUAGUAAGAAGCAAAGAUUAACCCUUGUACAUUUUGCAUAAUGAUUUAACUAGAAAAUUUUAGCAAAGAGAACUUAAGUUAACUACCCCAAGACCAGACGAGCUACUUGUGAACAGCCUAGGGGGCUAAUUCGUCUAUGUGGCUAAACAGUGAGAAGAUUUACAAGUAGAGGUGACAAGCGUGACGAGCCUGGUGAUAGCUGGUUGUCCAGGAGAAGAAUGUAAGUUCAACUUUAAAAAUACCUAAAGAAUUACUAAUUUUAUUGUAUUUUUAAAGGUUAAUCUAAAAGGGUACAGCUUUUUAGACUAAGGAUACAGCCUUACUUAGAGAGUAAAAACAACAAUUACCAUAGUUGGCUUAAAAGCAGCCAUCAAUUAAGAAAGUGUUCAAGCUCAACACUAAAUAUGUUUUAAUACCAAUAGUUAAUAAAGAACUCCUAACCCGAUACUGGACUAAUCUAUUAAAUAAUAAAAGCAACAAUGUUAUUAUGAGUAACAAGAAACAAUUUCUCCUUGCACAAGCUUAUGUCAGCAACACUCUACUGACAGUUAACACUUAAUAAAUUUAAUCUAAUAAUAAACAAUUUAUUAAACUUACUGUUAACCCGACACAGGUGUGCACUAAGGAAGGCUUAAAAGAAGCAAAAGGAACUCGGCAAACACGAGCCCUGCCUGUUUACCAAAAACAUCACCUCUAGCAUUGCCAGUAUUAGAGGCACUGCUUGCCCAGUGACGCUUGUUAAACGGCCGCGGUAUCCUGACCAUGCAAAGGUAGCAUGAUCAUUUGUUCUCUAAACAGGGACUUGGAUGAAUGGCCACACGAGGGUUCUGUCUCUUGCUUCCAAUCAGUGAAACUGACCUCCCCAUGCAGAGGCGGGGAUGAAUUAAUAAGACAAGAGGACCCUAUGGAGCUUCAAUUAACUGACCCGCAAAAACUAUAUUUAACCGCCAGGGAUAAUAGCCUUUUAGCAGGGCCAGCAAUUUUGGUUGGGGUGACCUCGGAGAACAGAAAAACCUCCGAGUGAUUAAAAUUAAGAUCCACUGAUCAAAAUGAAGCAUCGUUUACUGAUCCAAACUUUUUUGAUCAAUGGAACAUGUUACCCUAGGGAUAAUAGCGCAAUCCUAUUCAAGAGUCCAUAUUGACAAUAGGGUUUACGACCUCGAUGUUGGAUCAGGACACCCCAAUGGUGCAGCCACUAUUAAAGUUUUGUUUGUUCAACAAUUAAAGUUCUACUUGAUCUGAGUUCAGACCGGAGUAAUCCAGGUCGGUUUCUGUCUAUUAUUAAUUUCUCCCGG